rnacentral:rRNA from 1 species
CUGGCUCAGGAUGAACGCUGGCGGCGUGCCUAACACAUGCAAGUCGAGCGAUUACUUCGGUAAAGAGCGGCGGACGGGUGAGUAACGCGUGGGUAACCUGCCUCAUACACAUGGAUAACAUACCGAAAGGUAUGCUAAUACAGGAUAAUAUAAGAGAUUCACAUGGAUUUUUUAUCAAAGCUCCGGCGGUAUGAGAUGGACCCGCGUCUGAUUAGCUGGUUGGUAAGGUAAUGGCUUACCAAGGCGACGAUCAGUAGCCGACCUGAGAGGGUGAUCGGCCACAUUGGAACUGAGACACGGUCCAAACUCCUACGGGAGGCAGCAGUGGGGAAUAUUGCACAAUGGGCGAAAGCCUGAUGCAGCAACGCCGCGUGAGUGAUGAAGGCCUUCGGGUCGUAAAACUCUGUCCUCAAGGAAGAUAAUGACGGUACUUGAGGAGGAAGCCCCGGCUAACUACGUGCCAGCCGCCGC